AUGAGUUAUAUAUUAGAUUUAACGUCCCGAUGCAGCAGCGUUUAUAGUCAAAAAGGUAAUGUUGUGCUAAGAGAGGAUUUAUUAAACAAUAAUACAGUAAAAAUGUGUGCGGAGGAACGGCUCUUCCCACAGCGCGACCGGCGCCGCUCUGCGCUCUGCAGCCGCGGAAGGCUACUUCCGUUCCGCAGAGGGCGACAGGCAGCAGCCAGCCUCGACCGUGGCGGAGGUCCAGACACAAUAGACUGGGUCGAAGUUGGACAACAAAAACACGUCUAUUUGUCGACGAAACAACAUUUAGACGGCUGCUUGUCUAAAUUCCUCCCUGAACUCGGCGGGCCUGACUCGGAUGGAGCUGGAGUUGAUGUGGGGUGGCGGUGGGGGGGCGUUAGCAAAUAGUGCGCUCGUGCAGCGCGGAGGUGGCGGCUAGCUAAUCUUAACGACAUAAUAACCGUUCAACUUGGUGAGUUUUUACGGUUUAUUUCGAUAAAUUUUGGGGGUGCCUCGUAAGGUAGCUAGUUUUGUAGCUAGCUAUUUUUGCGUUAACCGCUGCGGAAAGCGUGAAGUUGCGUAAAAUGAAUAAGAUGUAUAUAUAUUCGUAACUCUCGCGAGAGUGGCGAGGAAAGCUGCGCGAACAAAAAAAAAUACGCGUGAACUGAUGUCGUUCCUUAAACAAUAUGCUUGUUGGAUUACUUUAUUAUCCCAACAAAACUGUUUAAAUUGUUUAAUAUGUACUUACUUCGAAAACUGUGCUCAAAUUAACAUUUUAAACUUGAAAUACAACGAUAACUUGCCAACGAGAGUUGCUGAUGGAGGCACUAAAAAGUGGGAUAAAACUAUCAGGGUUCUAAUCUGUUCCAGGUUUGGCCAUAUCGUUUUUAUCUGUGUAAUCAUAGUUCAUAUUAGGGGAUCAGUCGAUUAUAUCGAUAGUUUUCGGUGCAAUUCCCAACCCACAGUUGGGAAGAACCAGAUUCCCUCAUGGUAACCAUCUCUCGUGAGCGGUUCUGAUCCACUAGGACGGGAGAAAACUACUAGAACUUGUCUUGUAUGAGGAAGGAGACAAUUUCGUUAAACAAAACCCACCUGAGGUCCACCGCCCUGCCUGUUUCCAGCUCUUCCUGCCCUGCCACCUGCUGAUUACCUGGAUCAGGUGUGUUACGUCAGUCAGAAUGUGGAAACACCUGAGUCGGCUGUACACAGGCAGAGCUGUGAGGAAAAAUCCUGAGUGGGUUCUGAUACCCCGCUCAGCCCAGCGUCAGCUGACCCAUGAGCUUCAUCGUAAUGUGGAUGUUUCCCAUUUAACAAUAUCUAAAUCGAUCCGUAAACAUUAAUGACGGACCUUAUUUUACAAUAAGUGACCAGAAAGUUAAGCUAAUAUGCCGGCUGUGUAAAAUGCAAACAGAUUUAGCCUCUGAAGGCGUCGUGACUUUACGGCUCCUCGCAGUUUUAAAAGGAAAGAUGGGAACUGGACAGAAAAGAAUCGUGUUUUUCCUUUAAUUGGCAUCAUGGUUUUAAAAAUGGACACAUAUCCAGUUUUGUUUCUGUUGGUCUAAUCCACUAAGAAGGUUUAUGGUAGAGUUGAUCCCGAAUAACAGAAAUGCUGAUUUUUAGGGAUGGCGUCCAGCUUUACUGUUACAGUCCUCUGUUCUCUCUAUUUAACUGGGAUUUCUGAACCGAAUGAACAAGUUUGAACCCGUGCUUCUUCCU
ensembl:lncRNA